rnacentral:rRNA from 1 species
UUAAAUUGAAGAGUUUGAUCAUGGCUCAGAUUGAACGCUGGCGGCAGGCCUAACACAUGCAAGUCGAGCGGUAACAGAAAGUAGCUUGCUACUUUGCUGACGAGCGGCGGACGGGUGAGUAAUGUCUGGG